AAUGCCACUAGCGACGACCAUUCUGUACUGAUGGCUUGCCCUAGGCCUGUGCUAAGCACUUUAUGUAAAUUUAAUUCUCGAGGCUCAGAGAGUGAUCUCACUCUGGAGUCUCAAAUGAUCCCAGGAGCAAGGAAGGCAAAUUCUACUCCCCCAUUUACAGCUUAGGUUCUAACCUGGCCAUUUGGAAACUAAGAACAACAGGCUGGUCAGACUCAAACAGAGCUCACAGGCCCGCACAUCCAGAAACAGCAACCACAGCCCUCCCACACUGGAGGCAGACACAGCUGGUGGAUUCCCUCCUUCCUGCAGAGCCUAGACACAGCCUCAGAAUCCUGCCCAACACACUCUGGCAGCCACUCAAGAGCCGCUGGCACAAGAGAGAACGCUUGUUCAACAUGCUUGUUUUUACACUUGGGGAGGAGGCUCUGUCCAGAUUCUGGGUUCUUAAAACUCCCAGAUGGGUGCUCUUGGCACUGCCUCCUCCACCCCCAUCUAGUCAGUGCUGCCUGAUCUCUGCCAAAUACAUCUGACCUCUGAGCUUCCCCAAGGUUCCAGUAUUCAGUCCCCGCCCUACCUAUUGGGCAGGGUGCAGUGGGGAGUGGGGAACAAUGGAGGGGCUCGAUGGCACAGAAAAAGGACAAGACACAAUUGAAAUUGGCUUGGCGUACAGCAGUAGAAAUUUAAGUUAGAUAUUAGGAGGAACUUCCCAGCAGUGAGAGCCAUUAGACUUUGGCUAGGAGGCUACAGUAUUCUCUCUCCCUGAAAGUUCAAAAAACAUUGAAAAGGCUGCUAUUGCCUGCCAGAGACAAUGUCUGAGCAGAGGGAAGGACUCACGGCUUCUGGGGUAAACACCAGGUCGCGUGUUGAACUAGGGGAACAGCAGCAGCAGGAUGAGCCUCACCUCGCACCAGGAGCCAGACGGAUGCCCUUGUGACCCCAUUGGCGUUGCUGGCCACACACUGGUACCUCCCGCCGUCUGUGGGGAUGAUGCCACUGAUCUCCAGGGACAGGUCAGCCAGCUGGGCAACUCGGCCCGUCGAGGCCGGCAGGACUCGCCAGUCCCGGACCCAUGUCAGGUUGUAGGGGGCCUCGCCUAGGACCCAGCAGGAUAGGAUGGCAGUCUCCCCUGGGGACACGGUCACGUUGGGAGCAGGGACCAGCUGCGGCGGGGGGUCUGCAGGGACAUGAGCACAGGAGGAACCAAGGAGCUGAGGCAAGGGAGGGGGUCAUCGUGCAAGCCCUGGUGCUGCCCAGAACCCCACCCUGAGGUGCAGGCCCACCCGAACCAGAUCAUUCAGGACAUGUCAGCUAGCAGCAUAGGGUGACCAGCAUCUGCUCACCAUCCGGCAUCACCCCCGUGGGAGGUCACUUCUCCCACCACCAUUAUACACCUGCCAGGGGCUGCACGGUACACGCCUGCUCUCCAAAAUACAGCCAGUGCAAUGUGCAACAAGCCGGACACCCAUCUUCAUGCCUCUGAGCUGAAGAUGCCACACUGAGGAAUAAAGCCUUGGAAGUCUCCAGCCAGAGGAAGAGAGUAAUGUGUUCAAAACGAUUCUCUGUACCAACAGCAGGGCUAUUUAUAGCAGCCAAAUAUGCCCCCAAGGAGGAAAGCGCUAAGCAAACUGCUAUCUGGAUAGCAAAAAGCCACAAGAAGUGGCAAGAUCAGAGACUGCUGAACAUAGAAAAAAACCUAAAAGGGAGUAAAUCAAAUGGCAGAAUGGAGGGAUUACAAGUUAUUUUGAUCUUCUCUUGGGUUGUUUAUAUUUUUCCAGCUUUCCUACAAAGAGCAUGUGUAGUUUCUGGCUGUCUAUGUAGAGUGGCUGAUCUUUCCACGCUUACGGGUUCCUUUUUUUCUCUACAAAGCAGCUUGCGUUCGUAAUUUUUCAAAUAAAGCCAAUUUCAUUUGG